UAUUAAUUUCUCUGUUUUAUUUAGGGAAA
rnacentral:piRNA from 1 species